rnacentral:siRNA from 1 species
UGGAGUGUAGAGGAUGGA